rnacentral:sRNA from 1 species
GCCUGGUGUGGUGGCACACACCCGUAAUCCCAGUGGCUUGGGAGGCUGGGGCAGGAGGACCACAAGUUCAAAGCCAACUUAGAGAGGCCCUAAGCAACUCAGUGAGAUCCUGUCUCUA